rnacentral:rRNA from 1 species
GCGGUAAUACGGAGGGUGCAAGCGUUAAUCGGAAUUACUGGGCGUAAAGCGCACGCAGGCGGUCUGUCAAGUCGGAUGUGAAAUCCCCGGGCUCAACCUGGGAACUGCAUUCGAAACUGGCAGGCUAGAGUCUUGUAGAGGGGGGUAGAAUUCCAGGUGUAGCGGUGAAAUGCGUAGAGAUCUGGAGGAAUACCGGUGGCGAAGGCGGCCCCCUGGACAAAGACUGACGCUCAGGUGCGAAAGCGUGGGGAGCAAACAGGAUUA